ensembl:snoRNA
GGCCUCCUGGUGCUUACCCCAAGCUGUGUUCUUACACUGACUGUUUAGAAUGAGGAGGCGGGGUAAACCCCCAUGUACACCUCAGCCCAGGCCCUGUGCCUCGUCUGUAUUGUGAAUGGGGGCACAUUG